rnacentral:tRNA from 1 species
CGCCGCCUGCUGCGGGUGCACGGCCGCUCGGUGGUGGCGGUGGCGCUGUUCUAUUCGGCGGUGGCGAC